UUUGUCACCCCUGGGGGAAGUGUGUAGGGGAGUCUGAUGUUGUGAGUAAGGUGGAGCCGGCUUAUCCAUCUCUCGUGCUAGCAGCAACAUUGGAUUCUGAUGAGCAUUUCCCAAGCCGCUAGCAUUGGAUGACCAUCGAAAUUAAUGUGUGUGAGGGUUAGAAGAGAAGAAAGAAACAUUGUGAAAGUGAAUGGUUUGCGUAUGAAGCUA